CCGCCGCCGGGCUCCCUGCGGGGCAGGGCAGGGCGGCAGCACCGCCCCCCUCCGAGCCUGGCCCAGGGCGAGCGGGCGUCGUUUCGGAAGAGGAAAGACGCCCUCAGGCUCCAGGUGGUCAUGACGCUCCCGACUCUUAACGGUAUCGCCGUUACUACGGUGCCGGUUAACCCCCGAGGCUCCCUCGCGGCUUCAAAAAGCGCGUUCCCGGCUCGUGCUGGUCCGCAGCGUCCCAGCAGCUUGACUGCACCAGAACACAAAGAUGGAGCAAAACACCAGUAACUGUCAAGGAAAGGAGACUUUGUGCCAACACAGCCCAUACCAUGUCUAUUGCAAAAGGUCAUGUGCUUGCUAUAUAGCCAUGUCGACCAUCUUCUGCUCUACGAUCUUCACCAGCUGCACUUCAGAUCCCUCUACCAGCUGCACCUUCUGUCCAGAGACAGGUGAGCUAUUCUGCUCUGCAGCUGUGGGUCACCCCCAGCAGGGCCCUGUGCUCCAAGGAGCCCUUUCGGAAGCCAGAUCCCUCAGCUGUAGAUUAACUCAGCAUCAUGAUUAACGUGCAGGCUUUCCUCAUCGUGCAAUCUGACACACAGGCACACACCCCCGCCUCAGACCCAGGGGACACAUGGACAGCCCUGCCCUGUGGUAUGAUGCAAUUACAUGACCUAACACAGGAAACUUGCAUAUGGCAUCAGAAGAAAACGUGCCUAACU
rnacentral:lncRNA from 1 species